GCGGGAGCUGCCGGAGCGCAGGGACGCGCCGCGCGUCCCCCCGCCGGGAAAUCCCGUGGGCUAAUCCCGGCGGCCGUUAGCGCCGGUUUGCGCCUUUGUGUGUGCGUGUGCGUGGACGGCAGAUCGCAAACCACCGCACACAAAGCUCCGCGCGUACAGCACAGCGCACGGCCGGGGCUGCUCAGCCUCGCCUCUCCGUCGCCCGCUGCCUUCGCCUCCGAGCUGGUUUGCCCCGCUCGCUCUUCCUUAGUCUCGGUUUUUAGGGACCGCAGUUAAAAGCUAGGGCUAGGACUUGGAGGAUGUGUAGGCAAACGGAAGGAGAGCCGGGGGAAGAAAAACCGAAAUGGAUUCGUUCUCUGUCCUGGAUGGAGGAGGAGAGGAGAAGAGAAGGGGACGUGCGAGCUUCCUUCAACUGCCUCUGUCCGGUGAAAAGUGCUCAGACCCCCGGGGCUGAGCCGGGCUCAGGAGUCCGCGCGGACUUUCGCUUUAAGCUGCCAAUCAAACCGCUAACUAGCCACCACCCUGCUCUGGCACCGACAUGA
rnacentral:lncRNA from 1 species